GAUCCUGGCUCAGGAUGAACGCUGGCGGCGUGCUUAACACAUGCAAGUCGAACGAAGAAGGUUAGAAUGAGAGCUUCGGCAGGAUUUCUUUCCAUCUUAGUGGCGGACGGGUGAGUAACGUGUGGGCAACCUGCCCUGUACUGGGGAAUAAUCAUUGGAAACGAUGACUAAUACCGCAUGUGGUCCUCGGAAGGCAUCUUCUGAGGAAGAAAGGAUUUAUUCGGUACAGGAUGGGCCCCGCA
rnacentral:rRNA from 1 species